GGUCGCCCAUUGGGGGGGGCACAUCUCCCUUCCCUUCGGCCCCGCCCGCGGGUUCUUCUGUCUCUCUUGCUAGACCAAAUCCCCGAGAGCCCGCCGGUGUUUUCGUACAGCCUUCUGGAACUUGUAGUCCUUUAAGGACGCGGAGUGGGCUCAUGUCUCGGGCAGAUAAUGAGAGAUAGACUGCAUUUCCCAGGGUGCAUUGACAAAACAGAGGCGCUGAGGAGGGCGGGAGGACUGUUUCUAUAGCAAAGGCGACUGGUUGGGGACGGCUGACGGAGUAAUGGGGCAGGCCGCCGGACCCUCGAAGGAUUGUGCGUGACUUCGGGCAGCCUCCUUUGGGAGGCCGUUUCCAUUCUCUUUUCACCUCGGUCCCCACCCCGGGACUCUGGGCCUCAGUUUUCUUAUCUGGAAAGAAGGGCGUGGAGUCGUCUCCCCGCCCACACUCCGCGGUGUUAGGGCAAACCGAGGGCGAGCUGCCCAGCAAAGGUGAGAGAGGAUGGAGACUUUCGGCUUGAGAGUGGAAGGGGCGCAUUCUGAACUUUAUCCCUUUGUUUUUGCCUCUGUCUUGUCAUAGAGGAGCGCUUUGUUUUUGGUCAUUUUCCUUGGGCCAUCAAGGCCUUCUCAUCCCGGAUUCUGACCUCCUUCACGCCACGCCCCGUACCGCAGCGUCUCCCACAGCGUAGCCAGAGGGCGCUUCUGCUUAAAACCCUUCACCAGUCUUCCCAUUGCCUCCGGAAUUAAACCCACAUUCCUCAGUGUCAAUCUAAAGGCCCUUCGAGAUCUGGACUCCACCUUCUUGCAACACUCUGAACUUCUCUGGAAGCUGGGAAGCCUUAAUCAAUUGUUCUCUCACGUGGGUCCCUCCACCCUGCACUCAGCUAAUGCCUCACACUCUUCAAGCCCCAGCCUAGACGCUGCCUCCUCAGUGAAGCCUUCCCAGAUGCCCGGCUCCAUAUGAGGUGUUGACCUGGCAUGCAGUCCCUGUGGCUCCUGUGUGGCCCCAUUUCUGCCCUCUGAAGCAACAGAGUCCACGCACCAGAUGUUACAAAACCUCCCUACCUUGGCUGCCCAUCUCUGCAAAUAUGUGACCAGACUAGAGUGGUCAACCCCAGGAGAGGCUGGACACAGAAGGCACUGCCCUGCCUUUGAGAAACCUGGAACAACUGGGGGAGACACAGCUGUGUAGGUAAAGAAUACCUGGAUGGCAGAGGAGACAUGAUUCUGUAGAUAAACCCCACACUCACAUCUGCACCCAACCAGGAGAGCAGAGGUGUGACUGGUCUCCACCACGGGGCCAAAGGCUGCCACCUUCCCUCCUCCUCCUUCUUUUGAACAGCUUUAUUGAAGUAUAAUUGAUGUACAAGAAG